rnacentral:tRNA from 1 species
CUCUCUUAAGUCUAAAAAGAUUUUCGAUUUUCAUUCGAAAGAGCCAUUUGGAAGAGA